rnacentral:lncRNA from 1 species
AAGUGUAACAUCCCAACAUAGAAAGGCACACUGUAAAAUAUCAAUUGAAAUGGCUUAACUUAAUUAAAAGACAUAUUAAUACAAGUGAACACACAGUAAACGAAUGAAUUUGAUCAAUGGCACAUGUACAAUGUACAUACAAAAUCAAUAAAAUAAGGGGUUAGAUAGAUGUUAAAUAAUUUCAGAGAGACAACCAUAAUCUUGAACAAAAUGCCACCAAGUAGAAUAGUGUAAACAGGUAAAUGAAAACAAUUUUGUUGUAAGGUAUACAGUAAUAGAGAUACAAACAUACAUUUGGCAGAUGUUAUAAAAAAAUGCCCUAUAAAAACGUUUUAUUUGUCUUCACAAUGAUUGUUUCAAUGUGAGUUUGCAUGCUGUCUUACUGACGUGUACACCACAAUCGUUUUUAUAGAUUUAUGUAAAAGAAGCUUAAGAAAAUAUUUCCGAUCUAUCUUACACUUCUUACUACUUAUCAUUCAAUGAAGGUGUCGAGAUCUUGUAAAUAAGUCAUAGGGAAUUCACCUUUGAAAACAAUUACUGAUUUCUCUUAAAAUGACAUAUUACAUGUUUUCCGGAUAUAUUAGAAAUAAUAUAUUUCAGAAGGAUUGCUCAAUAUUUCACUUUUUUUCUCUUCCAGAUUAUAAGUUGAAAGUCGCCAAGGACGUUACCACUAUCGAUUUGAAACUAGACCGUUGAAAAGUAUAGUGAUGGUUUCCGUGUAUCGGGAAAUUGUGGCGUCAUGAUAUUUUGGUAAAUUUUUGCAUAAUAGUAGUCAUAUUUGCCUGUACAUUUACCCGUUUAUUGACUAAAUAUCAAUAACCUUUAUAUAAUAACUGAAUCAAAUAAACAAUUUCUUUAGUUGUUCUUUUUUGAACACAUUUUAUUUACUGAUAAAUUGGUAUAUGUUGUCACAUUUGUUUGUCAAUGAGAUAACUAGCCUAUCGACCAGAAACCAAAGAACGAGGAUGUAAACCGAAACAGGACAUUGCUCUUAUACAAAUAUCAACACCUACAUGUAAUAAGACCUUUUGAGCAUGCCAAUAAAAUAUCUAUAUAUUUUUCCCGGGCGCCUUUUCUGUUCCCCGGGCGCUAUAUUUUCUUCUCCGGGCGCUUUUUCUUUUCCCCGGGCGCUCCCGGGCGCAUUUUAGUAGGACCCCAACAUUUAAUUAAUUCAUAGAGGGCACCAACCACUAAACAUCCGGUCUAGAUUGAAAAAUCGAAUCCAUUUUUUAAUCAAAAAGGACUAUGCAGAUUUAGCUUGACAUGUAACAGAUGUACAGGUCAACAAUACAUUAUAUUAAUACUGAAUCUAGGUUAGAUAUACAUGUAUUUAUAAAUCGCAUAUACUGAAUAUAUGUUGAGACGCAAAGGAAACUGAUGUAUGAUUUAGCAACAACAAGGAAAACAAUUCAACCUGUUCCCGUGAUGAUUCAUUUGCAGGGUACAAUAAAAGAAAAAGUGUACCUGUUGAUAUUUCUUACCAGUUUCCGGUCCAAAUUUUCCCCAAAACGGUUGUGGAGUUGAGGCCUGAGGUAUCAUAUUGGUGUUGUGUGCGGGCAUAUAGCCAUUAUAAAUAAAUAUUAUCUUGAAACUCACAAGUUUUGGCAAAAAUUAGGGUGGCGGAGGAAGAGAGGGGAAGGGCCGCCAACAAGAGUAGCACAAUUGCCUACAGAGUUUAAUCCACUGAUGGAGAAGAAGACGUUCAUGUUGUCGUAAGGUGAACUGUCUAUCAUCUUUAUAAAGGUCCUAAAAAAAUGUAUGCGUGUUCACACAGUAAGCCUAACCUAUGGCGUAAAUAGUUGACAUUUGGUAAAAGUUGACAAAAAUACCAUUAGGCAUUGCAUGUAAAAUGAUAUUUGUUAAACAUAAAUAUACUGAAGAUAUAUGUUAAAACGUAUUACGUCAAUAGGACUAACCACAGGCGAAAAUAUAUGAAAUGGGUUGUUGAAGUAUGACAUAUAAAAAUCGUAACAUCAUUUUAAAUUUAACCAAAUGUUAUUUUUUUUAUACGAUCGAUCAUAACAUUUAAAAUGGUCCACCGAACAAAACAAAGUUUAUCAAUUUCACCACCAACUGGACCACAACAAUUGAACCAUCUUUAGAAUUUAUUAUUAUUUGCCGAAAGGUAUUUUCUUCAACAUGUGCUGUGAAUUUAAAUCAAUAAAUGACGCAAAUGCCUUUCAAAAUGUGUAUAAAUCAGUAAAUUAAAAGAUAAGGACAUGUGGUAAGACUAUGGUAUAAAAAGAACCAAUUGGUCCGAGUACACAGUUAUUUCGUAGUGCAUUUCUUUUAGACAAUAAAUGGAAAUCAAAAAAAUCCCACCUGCGCUUUCUCCAUAAUAUUUUUACAGUGUGUUGUACUACUUUUGGGACAAAUUAUAUCAAAAUUAUGGAAAACUUCAUCAGCUCUAACUCAAAAUAUGGACAAUUUUAUGUGAAGGGGGUCUUGAAAUCUUUUGACAGCUUCCGAAAUGCUAAUUUUUGACCUUUUUCAACUGGACCAAAUCACUACUUUACAUUAUAAUUCAUGAAUCAAAUUUUUUUACAGUGUAGUUUUAUCCCCCUUCUUGCUACUUGAGGCAUAAAACAUAAAUAAAUAAAUUUGGAAGGGGGUAUAAAAUAAAUGACAAGUAACACACUGUCCAUACUAGGAACAACGAACAUCAAGAACAACGAACAUCAAAGGACGAUAACUGUGUACUCGGACCAAUUGAUCAAAUACCCUAAUCGACAGUCACAAAUAUAUAUUUAUAAUAAUAUAUAUUUGUUAACUUGUUCUCUCUGAAAAUGCAUGAAAUAUUUGCAACUGGACAAUUAACAAGGAAUCAGUCUGUCACAAAUCAUAAUAAUACUUAACGGUUAUAUAUACUAUACUCGUUUUUUUUUUACAAAUUUCUCUCUGACAUUUGUCAGACGACUGUUUGAAUUGAUUAAAUAUAUCGAAUGAUUAAUCCACUUAUAUCAGAUAAGUCAUUCAUAAGAAUAUUUAUGACCACAACGUCUCAAUGAAAAUCAUGUGAGAAACUGGAACGUGUUUUUGAGUCGCUCAUGCCAUUAAUUACUAAAUCAGGAGAUUUGGUGAUCUGAAAUGUGGCCUGUGAAAAAGCGUCCAAUGAAAGGGAAAAAACGAAUUCACUGGGUAUCAUUUUUGCAUAAUUAUUACAAAUACAAGGCGAAUAAUUCCGGUAAAGGGAGAUACAUGUAAUAAAGAUUCUGACACUGGUGUAUAAUUUACGUCAUAAUAUGAAGUGAAGAGCUUUCCGACGAAAAUAGUUGUGUCUCGUAAAAGAUACAUGUAUAAAUAAUGACAGAGGCAUAAUAAUUCGAUUGCACAUUUGGGAAAUGAAUAAUUUAAUUAACAUUUCGUAUGCAAUUAAUAAAACGAAAAUAUGUAUAAUCCUAUGUCAUUGAUUAUUUCAAAUAUCUGUUUACUCUUCUAUAUUUCACUAGUAAAUACAAAUUUAAGGUGGUGCUUAACACUACAGGGAGAUAACUCUGUAAAGUCAGCUAAACGUUUUAAUUACGUUGUGUUGUAAGGGAAUGUUAAGCUUCUUAAUGAUCAAAAUUGGUGGUUGUCAAACAGCUAUAUAACCAGUGUAAUUUUUCUGUCAAAACGGUUGGUUCAAAAUUGAAAUUUUCAUAUUUUUGUUAGAGGGUCAAAGUAAAAUACAUUGUCCUAAUUUUAUGAAAAUUAAACGAGCCAAAUUAUUUUAGUGAAAGUGUUGGGUAUCACCUUAAUAGACAGAGGCGGAUUUAGUUGGAAUCUCAGGGUGUCUGGUUCAUCUACUCUUAAAUUUAGUUGAUUUUAUAGGAAAUCACCCUGGCGAAGCAUGACUGGAGCGCGUCCCUUCUUAGGCAGUCAGUGGGUCCCCACUUAUGUACAUUUCUGGAUCCGCCACCGAUGGAGACAAUACUAACACACAACUGUCAAUGUCUUUUAUGUUACUUGAAACGUGCAAACAGUAACUGUUGUAUAAAAUGACUUAAUGUACGAAACAAAUACUGUAUUUAUUGUGUAUGCACCUUAUCCACAGAAGAGAAAACAAUUCAAUGACACAUACACACCACGCCUAUGAAUAAGCAACAACACAUUCCCACAUUAAUGUACUACCACGAAAUGUCUGUAAUAGUUAUGUUUGAACACAUAUUGUAAGAUACCAAAGGAAAAUGUUCGACUUUUCAAAAUCCCAUGCACGCUACGAAGAAGUGACGGAAUUAUAGUUUAAAGUUCUAAAUGGUUGGUUCGUCAGUCUGUCAGCAAUCGUUUCUGUUCAAAUAUAUGCUGUGUGUCUGUAAUGAUUAUGUAUGAAAACAUAAUGUAAGAUACCAAACGGAAAAUGUUCGACUUUUCCAAAUCCCACGCUACGAAGAAGUGACGGAAUAGUACAUUUAGUUGUCUGUCCUAAAAUGUUUUUUUCCGUCAGUCUGUCAGUCAUCUUGUUUUCCGAACAGAUAUUUUGUAUCGGAUUGCAACCUUGCAACAAAUGUAUAGCAAAGACUGAGAAAUUUUACAUGUUUAAAAGUUCAAGUACACCUAUAUACACGAUUAAGAAGAUGUGUUAUAAUUGCCAUUGAGACAACUUUCUAUCAGAACGAACCAAGAUGACGUACAAGUUAGCAACUAUAUUUAACUAUACUAGACGCUUCAUUCAAUUAAAUUAAACGGAUAACAGUUCUCUACAUUGCCAAACCAGCUUUAAUUCGUGUCAUAAUUUAUUAGCAUCAGGCGCCGAUACAUAGAACACGAUUUUUAAAAACAUUCAAUUAUUGCAGAUGUUACCGUGAUUCUAAUUAGCUUCUAAAAUACAUAAAAACAGAUACGGUAUCUCCCGCCGGCGAUAGACGUUCGUGUCAUCACUUUUUUUACCAUAUGGUGACGGAGUCUUAAAGAUCAAUGCUUCAUCAGCAUUAAUUUAUAGUGAAUGCAUUAACUUGCUAUGUUUUUUUUUUUAUUAAUUUCUGUCCGUAUAUAUAAUUGAUCCAACUUAUUGUAUACUUUACUUAUAUGUAUAUCUAUUUUUCUUUUUGGGCUGCUUGUCCGUUAUCGAUAUCAACCACACUAAGUCUUGCAUUUUACUUGCAUUAAAAUGCAUUAGUAUUUAGUAUUGAAUUUCACCCUGUUAUGGAUUAUUCCAAGACGGUAAAAUCAGUUCGCCCGUUUUCGUUGUUAAAUCAAGAGAAAGGAUGGGUGUUAUUCGAUUGAAACUGUUUUGCUUUAAUUUUUUUUUUAUAAAAACGCACAAAAUAUGCAAAAGACACGAUAUAUGAAUACAUCUUCCUUUCCCAUGUGGAAUAGACAAGGUGUGCAAACAGAAAUACAAAAAGAUAAGGAAGAGGACUGUUUUUAUAGCUGGCUUUGCGGCAACGGUUUUGACUAUUGUUGAAGGCCUUACGACGACAUUUGUUAGUUUAUAGUUAUUUACGUCUACGUAAUUUUCAGUCUGAUAGAUAUACAUUUGUAUGUCUCAUUACAUGGCAAUUUUUACCACACCUCCAUAUUUUUGAUGACUCUUUAAUGUGAUAACGGCAAAAUAUACCGUCUUUUACAUUAUACUAUCAGCUACUCUUUUUAUAGUACAUUUGACUGCAUCCUUAAAAGGAAGACUUUGAAAUAUAAAGGUACUUUCCCGAAUGCAUCAUUUCAAAGUUUUUGUAAAAUUUAAUGUAUUUGCUUUACAUAUAGAUCAUUUGUAUUGUAAUCAGGUUACACACUGUAAAUACUCAUAUACAUUAUUUGUACAGACGUGAUAAGUAAUUUACUGUUUACUGAUUAUUAGACGUGUAUAUCUAUCAGUACUGUAUACGACAAUAUGUAAAUAAAAAGAUAAAUCAUCGGGAAAACCAUAACUGCAUUCGUCUCUUCGUCAUCAUUUCGUUUUGUAAACUAAAAACCAAAUUGUAAAAUUUAUACAGUACUAGUAAAUAACAAAUUAAUUGUAUAAGUACAAUAUUGAUAUAAUUUCACCUAAAUGCAUUGGCCAAAUAUCAGUCUGAAAAUUCAUGUAAUAUUUGUAGCUGGACAUAAAACUGCAAUCAACAAAUUUAUUAAUGGCGUACCACAAUACUCUGCUGACUAUAAUAUUCUUUGAGGAACUUGCCAUUUUACGUUAGGGGUGGUUAGGAAUUGUUUUGAACCUUUCAGUACAUUUGUACAUAAAAUCAGAAUAAAACAUAGUUGUUUGUCAUCUACCUGUAUUAUUCAUCGGUAAAAAAAGCAACUGAAUAUUUUGUUUGUGAAAUUUAAGACUUUUGAUUGUUUUUUCACUGUCACACGGUUCUCAUUUCUAAAAACCUGAUUCUGUAAUGACUGUCGUAAUCUCGUGGAGCUUUGUCAAAGAAAAAAUACUUCUGCUUUCUAAAUCUCGUACAUUCAGUACAUGAUGUUUUUUUUCGACAAUGUACAUAGUUGUUUUAUCUUUAAUUUUUAGAUUUAUACUUUAACGUCUAGCUUUCAAAUUCCUAUGUAACAUUGUAUUUAUUUUUCUGCAAUUUGUUUCAGCAAAUAUGGUUAAAUCACAGACAGCGACGAGGACACCCGGUAGUGAACUGUCACGUGUAUGCAUGUCUAUUUUUAUCUUUUGCUCAACAAAGGAACAGAUAACAAACAGGAUAUUUCAUUUGAGAUUCUUUACUCAAUAUAAUGAAAAUAUAAUUCAGAUUAUCAAAAAUAUUUUUUUUAUUUUGUUUUUGUUUUUCCGCGUUUGGAAGUCAAAGAAUCAUAUACUAUCAUAAAGUCUUAAAACUCCAAUGGCAUAUCCAAGGUAAAUAUGUAACCAGUAUAUCAUGCAGCAUUUUUUUUUUUAUACUUUUGAAAUAUUUGCCCCACUUUUCGGACAACUCUAAAACGUUCAAACUUUGUAACAGACGACAAUGUGCAAAUAAUUUUUGAACAUUAUAUAAUACAUAAGUAGGAAAUACAAGGCGUUGAUAAUCCAAGGUCAUACAAAUCAAAUUUGAAUAAAUCAUAAUUUUUAGGUUGUCCCAAUUUGAAGACAGCAAAACCAUAUAAAGCCUAGUUAAAUUAUAGGAAUCGAUUCGAAAAUCGAUCAGAAAUUUAAGUGAGAACAGUUUAAGAUAGAGAGAUAAGAAUUUUUUAAGAUAAUAAAUAAAACGAUUAUAUCAAACGAGGAGUGUUACAUCGCUGAUUGCUUUUCAAUUUUCCAAUCAUGCACUUUUAAGAGGAAUGGGGUGGUUUUGUUUUAUUUGUAAUUAUCUUUUUGUAACUUCUAAAAUAAACAAGAGGCUCUCAAGAGCCUGAAUCGCUCACCUGGUAAACAAUGCCUUAUUGAACAUAUUGAACCAUGCCAGGCAAACAUGUACAGCUAACAAUUCUUCAAUAUUACAAAUAUAUAUGACUUACUGUUUAUAAAUAAAGAAAAUGAGACCAAAACACAAACACUUAAAACUUAGCAAUGGACUGUGAAAAUGAGGUCAAGUUCAAAUAAAACCUGCGUAACCGACAUAUAGAUCAUGAAAUAUUUUCAUACACCAAAUAUAGUUGACC